UACGGAGGGGGCUAGCGUUGUUCGGAAUUACUGGGCGUAAAGCGCACGUAGGCGGUUUGUCGCGUCUGCCGUGAAAGUCCGGGGCUCAACUCCGGAUCUGCGGUGGGUACGGGCAGACUAGAGUGAUGUAGGGGAGACUGGAAUUCCUGGUGUAGCGGUGAAAUGCGCAGAUAUCAGGAGGAACACCGAUGGCGAAGGCAGUUCUCUGGGCCGUAACUGACGCUGAGGAGCGAAAGCGUGGGGAGCGAACAGG
rnacentral:rRNA from 1 species